AUUGAACGCUGGCGGAAUGCUUUACACAUGCAAGUCGAACGGCAGCACGGACUUCGGUCUGGUGGCGAGUGGCGAACGGGUGAGUAACAUAUCGGAACGUAUCCAAUAAUGGGGGAUAACUAAUCGAAAGGUUGGCUAAUACCUCAUACGCCCUACGGGGGAAAGCUAGGGACCUCCGGGCCUGGCGUUAAUGGAGCGGCCGAUAUCUGAUUAGCUAGUUGGUGGGGUAAAGGCCCACCAAGGCGACGAUCAGUAGCUGGUCUGAGAGAACGACCAGCCAAACUGUAACAGAGAAACGGUCCAGACGCCUACGGGAGGCAGCAGUGGGGAAUUUUGGGAGAUGGGCGCAAGCCUGAGCCAGCCAUUCCGCGUGAGUGAAGAAGGCCUUCGGGUUGUAAAGCUCUUUCGCAAAGGAAGAAAACUUAUCCUCUAGCGUAGGGUGAGGUUGACGGUACCUUGAUAAGAAGCACCGGCUAACUACGUGCCAGCCGCCGCAGUAAAAC
rnacentral:rRNA from 1 species